GACGAACGCUGGCGGCGUGCUUAACACAUGCAAGUCGAACGGAAAGGCCCAGCUUGCUGGGUGCUCGAGUGGCGAACGGGUGAGUAACACGUGGGUGAUCUGCCCCUAACUUCGGGAUAAGCUUGGGAAACUGGGUCUAAUACCGGAUAGGACAAUCGUUUAGUGUCGGUUGUGGAAAGUUUUUUCGGUUAGGGAUGAGCCCGCGGCCUAUCAGCUUGUUGGUGGGGUAAUGGCCUACCAAGGCGUCGACGGGUAGCCGGCCUGAGAGGGUGGACGGCCACAUUGGGACUGAGAUACGGCCCAGACUCCUACGGGAGGCAGAAGUGGGGAAUAUUGCACAAUGGGCGCAAGCCUGAUGCAGCGACGCCGCGUGGGGGAUGACGGCCUUCGGGUUGUAAACCUCUUUCGACAGGGACGAAGCUUUGGUGACGGUACCUGUAUAAGAAGCACCGGCUAACUACGUG
rnacentral:rRNA from 1 species